GAUGAACGCUGGCGGCGUGCCUAAUACAUGCGAGUCGAGCGAACGGACGAGAAGCUUGCUUUUCUGAUGUUAGCGGCGGACGGGUGAGUAACACGUGGAUAACCUACCUAUAAGACUGGGAUAACUUCGGGAAACCGGAGCUAAUACCGGAUAAUAUUUUGAACCGCAUGGUUCAAAAGUGAAAGACGGCCUUGCUGUCACUUAUAGAUGGAUCCGCGCUGCAUUAGCUAGUUGGUAAGGUAACGGCUUACCAAGGCAACGAUGCAUAGCCGACCUGAGAGGGUGAUCGGCCUCACUGGAACUGAGACACGGUCCAGACUCCUACGGGAGGCAGCAGUAGGGAAUCUUCCGCAAUGGGCGAAAGCCUGACGGAGCAACGCCGCGUGAGUGAUGAAGGUCUUCGGAUCGUAAAACUCUGUUAUUAGGGAAGAACAUAUGUGUAAGUAACUGUGCACAUCUUGACGGUACCUAAUCAGAAAGCCACGGCUAACUACGUG
rnacentral:rRNA from 1 species